CAAUAUGAAGGUCAGGCUGAAGACCUUACCCGAUUAGCUGAGAGGUGGUGCAUGGCCGUCGUCAGUUCGUACUGUGAAGCAUCCUGUUAAGUCAGGCAACGAGCGAGACCCACGCCCACAGUUGCCAGCAUACCCUCCGGGGUGAUGGGUACACUGUGGAGACCGCCGCUGCUAAAGCGGAGGAAGGAGUGGGCAACGGUAGGUCAGUAUGCCCCGAAUCUCCCGGGCUACACGCGGGCUACAAUGGCUGGUACAAUGGGCAUCUACCCCGAAAGGGGAAGGAAAUCUCUUAAAGCCAAUCGUAGUUCGGAUUGAGGGCUGCAACUCGCCCUCAUGAAGCUGGAAUCCGUAGUAAUCGCGUUUCAACAGAACGCGGUGAAUACGUCCCUGCUCCUU
rnacentral:rRNA from 1 species